AUUGUGGACCAGUUUCCAUGUUUAAGAGACAGCCAUGGCACAGGAUAUGACGCCUGGUUUACCCGCGGAAGACAACACAGGCCAGCAACUGGCUUUCUGGAGGAGCGUCUCCGUAAUGUAAGGAAAAGGCAUCAACCAAGGAAGAAGAUGCUUUCAGCCCCAGAAGCUCCACCAAAAAGAUCAAGUUUGCCUGAACCAACCAUCAGUGCUGAGCGUGCCAUCCAGAUGACAGAAUGGCUAAAAAAUAACUUCUGGCCCGCAGACCAGGUUGUCCAAUACAUGCGGGAAACUGCAGUAUAUCGCGCAGGAUGGAUCCGCUCAAGUGGGACAAUCCCAAUG